rnacentral:rRNA from 1 species
UACAGAGGGCGCGAGCGUUGUCCGGAAUCACUGGGCGUAAAGGGCGCGUAGGCGGCUUUUCAAGCGUGCGGUGAAAGCUCGGGGCUUAACUCCGAGUCUGCCGUGCGAACUGGGAGGCUUGAGUCUGGUAGAGGUCGAUGGAAUUCCGGGUGUAGCGGUGGAAUGCGUAGAGAUCCGGAAGAACACCGGUGGCGAAGGCGGUCGACUGGGCCAGUACUGACGCUGAGGCGCGACAGCGUGGGGAGCAAACAGG